rnacentral:lncRNA from 1 species
AAAAAUACUAGUCAAGUCAGUCCAGGACUCUUGCAUUUUCUGCAGUUGCAGUCACACUAAAACCUGUUGCUUCGUUUGUGUGUGGCAUAUGGCUGUAUGAGCAUGCUCUGAACAAGCUGUGAAUUCCCUAAAGGGAAUGUUGUGUCCCUCUAUUCUGCUGAGUAGAAUGUGGAUAUGGUAGUAAGCCAUCUUGUACUAUGUGGGGUGUGGGCAGAGCCUUAGGGAUGGUAGAUCAGUAAGAU